rnacentral:rRNA from 1 species
UACAGAGGCCCCAAGCGUUACUGAGAAUCACUGGGUUUAAAGGGUGCGUAGGUGGCGCGUUAAGUUCGUUGUGAAAUCCCUGGGCUCAACCCAGGAAUUGCUUCGAAUACUGGCGUGCUUGAGGCUAGUAGGGGUCACUGGAACUGACGGUGGAGUGGUGAAAUGCGUAGAUAUCGUCAGGAACGCCGAUGGUGAAGACAGGUGACUGGGCUAGUUCUGACACUGAGGCACGAAAGCGUGGGGAGCGAACGGG